rnacentral:rRNA from 1 species
GACGAACGCUGGCGGCGUGCUUAACACAUGCAAGUCGAACGGAAAGGCCCUGCUUUUGUGGGGUGCUCGGGUGGCGAACGGGUGAGUAACACGUGAGUAACCUGCCCUUGACUUUGGGAUAACUUCAGGAAACUGGGGCUAAUACCGGAUAGGAGCUCCUGCUGCAUGGUGGGGGUUGGAAAGUUUCGGCGGUUGGGGAUGGACUCGCGGCUUAUCAGCUUGUUGGUGGGGUAGUGGCUUACCAAGGCUUUGACGGGUAGCCGGCCUGAGAGGGUGACCGGCCACAUUGGGACUGAGAUACGGCCCAGACUCCUACGGGAGGCAGCAGUGGGGAAUAUUGCACUAUGGGCGGAAGCCUGAUGCAGCAACGCCGCGUGCGGGAUGACGGCCUUCGGGUUGUAAACCGCUUUCGCCUGUGACGAAGCGUGAGUGACGGUAAUGGGUAAAGAAGCACCGGCUAACUACGUG